rnacentral:misc_RNA from 1 species
GUAGGUGAACCUGCGGAAGGAUCAUUAUAAGUACCUCUCCUCGACCGGGGUAAUAGCCGGAAAUCGACAUCGAGGUUGGGGGGUAAAAUUCGUCGGGUCUGUACUCCGAUCUGUUGCCUUGAGGAAAUGAUCGUAGCUGCCCAUUAAGGGUAACUCUCAUCUUCACUCUUGGGACGGGGGCGAGAGGGCUGGCUGUCUACCAUCCUUGUUUUUCUAAAGAACUAUUGUUUCCUCGGCGGGCUUGCCCGCCAAUGGGGACCCUAAUAAUCCUUUGUAAUCUUGUUUCAAAUCAGAAAUAUUCCAAAUAUUAAAACUUUCAACAAUGGAUCUCUUGGCUCUG